rnacentral:rRNA from 3 species
GACGUGCUAAUCUGCGAUAAGCGUCGGUAAGGUGAUAUGAACCGUUAUAACCGGCGAUUUCCGAAUGGGGAAACCCAGUGUGAUUCGUCACACUAUCAUUAACUGAAUCCAUAGGUUAAUGAGGCGAACCGGGGGAACUGAAACAUCUAAGUACCCCGAGGAAAAGAAAUCAACCGAGAUUCCCCCAGUAGCGGCGAGCGAACGGGGAGCAGCCCAGAGCCUGAAUCAGUGUGUGUGUUAGUGGAAGCGUCUGGAAAGGCGUGCGAUACAGGGUGACAGCCCCGUACACAAAAAUGCACAUACUGUGAGCUCGAUGAGUAGGGCGGGACACGUGGUAUCCUGUCUGAAUAUGGGGGGACCAUCCUCCAAGGCUAAAUACUCCUGACUGACCGAUAGUGAACCAGUACCGUGAGGGAAAGGCGAAAAGAACCCCGGCGAGGGGAGUGAAAAAGAACCUGAAACCGUGUACGUACAAGCAGUGGGAGCACGCUUAGGCGUGUGACUGCGUACCUUUUGUAUAAUGGGUCAGCGACUUAUAUUCUGUAGCAAGGUUAACCGAAUAGGGGAGCCGAAGGGAAACCGAGUCUUAACUGGGCGUUAAGUUGCAGGGUAUAGACCCGAAACCCGGUGAUCUAGCCAUGGGCAGGUUGAAGGUUGGGUAACACUAACUGGAGGACCGAACCGACUAAUGUUGAAAAAUUAGCGGAUGACUUGUGGCUGGGGGUGAAAGGCCAAUCAAACCGGGAGAUAGCUGGUUCUCCCCGAAAG